GACUCUCGGCAACGAUAUCUCGGCUCUCGCAUCGAUGAAGAACGUAGCGAAAUGCGAUACUUGGUGUGAAUUGCAGAAUCCCCGUGAACCAUCGAGUCUUUGAACGCAAGUUGCGCCCGAAGCCGUUAGGCCGAGGGCACGUCUGCCUGGGCGUCA
rnacentral:rRNA from 1 species